UACAGAGGGUGCAAGCGUUAAUCGGAAUCACUGGGCGUAAAGAGCGCGUAGGUUGAUAAUUAAGUUGGAUGUGAAAGCCCCGGGCUCAACCUGGGAUGGUCAUUCAAGACUGGUUAUCUAGAGUAUGGUAGAGGGAAGUGGAAUUUCCGGUGUAGCGGUGAAAUGCGUAGAUAUCGGAAGGAACACCAGUGGCGAAGGCGGCUUCCUGGACCAAUACUGACACUGAGGCGCGAAAGCGUGGGGAGCAAACAGG
rnacentral:rRNA from 1 species